GAUGAAGAACGUAGCGAAAUGCGAUAAGUAGUGUGAAUUGCAGAAUUCAGUGAAUCAUCGAAUCUUUGAACGCACAUUGCGCCCUUUGGUAUUCCUUAGGGCAUGCCUGUUCGAGCGUCAUUUAAACCUUCAAGCUAAGCUUGGUGUUGGGUGACUGUCCGCUUCACGGCGGACUCGCCUCAAAAUUAUUGGCGGCCGGUACAUUGGCUUCGAGCGCAGCAGAAACGCGAACUCGGGCCCGUCGUAUUGGCUCCCAGAAGCUAUCUUCACAAUUUUGACCUCGGAUAAGGUAGGGAUACCCGCUGAACUUAAGCAUAUCAAUAAGCGGGGA
rnacentral:misc_RNA from 1 species